CUUCAAUUUGUUUUAGAAAUCUGGUUUUUAGCUACUGAUAGUUAGGGGAUCUGGGGCCUAAUUGGCUUUCAUUUUCUUGAAGUGGGGUUUGGAUUGCUUGUUUUAUCUCAUAUACUGUCUUUUUUUGCGUUGCAGAUUCAUCAGGAUUUAGACUUCAGGUUUAGGGAAAACGGAGACAGUGUUGAGUCAAAAGCAAGCAGAAGAAGCCAUCGUCCCAAACUUCAGCGAGGCAGAGCAUGAGGCCAGUCGUGAAGAAGAGAAAGAAGAAGUCAGCUUUAAGAACCAUGUCAUACAGUGGUUUGAAGUGCUGGAUGGGUUACUGGGUCCUUACUGGAAGGCUGUGGGUUUGGCUUUCAACUGUACUUUCCUACCGUUUGGGUCCGUGAUUCAGCUCAUAGCCUGUGCAAGUAUCAUAUACUACAUCAACGACCGAUUGGACAAGCGGACAUGGAUGUACAUAUUUGGAGCUUGAGCUUGCUGCGCCACCACUGUCUUCAUACCUUCCUUCCACAAUUAUCGGAUUUGGUCUUUUCUCGGCCUCGACAUGACCACCUUCCCCACCUGGUACCUCACCGGCGACUCCCGC